rnacentral:rRNA from 1 species
GUCGAGCGGUAAGGCCCUUCGGGGUACACGAGCGGCGAACGGGUGAGUAACACGUGAGCAACCUGCCCCUGACUCCGGGAUAAGCGGUGGAAACGCCGUCUAAUACCGGAUACGACCCGCCACCUCAUGGUGGAGGGUGGAAAGUUUUUCGGUCAGGGAUGGGCUCGCGGCCUAUCAGCUUGUUGGUGGGGUAACGGCCUACCAAGGCGAUUACGGGUAGCCGGCCUGAGAGGGCGACCGGCCACACUGGGACUGAGACACGGCCCAGACUCCUGCGGGAGGCAGCAGUGGGGAAUAUUGCGCAAUGGGCGAAAGCCUGACGCAGCGACGCCGCGUGGGGGAUGACGGCCUUCGGGUUGUAAACCUCUUUUACCACCAACGCAGGCUCCCAGUUCUCUGGGGGUUGACGGUAGGUGGGGAAUAAGGACCGGCUAACUACGUGCCAGCAGCCGCGGUAAUACGUAGGGUCCGAGCGUUGUCCGGAAUUAUUGGGCGUAAAGAGCUCGUAGGCGGCGUGUCGCGUCUGCUGUGAAAGACCGGGGCUUAACUCCGGUUCUGCAGUGGAUACGGGC